AUUCGUGCAAAGAAAAAUGCCUGGAAAAAAAUUCGUUCAGCCAUUACGUCAGAGAAAAAAAAUUCGUGCAAGCAAACAGCAAAGUCAUGGGCGUACCGGGCAGUUGGCAGUCGGGCAAUAUUCGCUGAACAGUCGGGCAAUUUUAGUUUAUUAAAAAAAAAAAAUUGACAAAUUCUGUCAAUUUUGUGGUAACUUUUGGUAUGUGGUAUGUCCGGAAAAUUUUU